UCAGGAUCCUCUGAGGAUUUACUGACACCAUCUAAAGAUGUAGUGAUGAGUUUGGAAGGAGGCACUGUGACUCUCUCCUGCAACUAUUCAGCUGUAGUUCAGACACUUUUCUGGUACCAUCAGAAGUCCGGUUCACGUCCACAGCUUCUCAUGGCAGAUUAUUCAAAGCAAACAGAAAAGCUGAAGUUUAUACAUGACAAAGAAAAAAAGGAGUUUCAUCUGGAGAUCUCCUCUGCUGCAGUGUCUGACUCUGCUGUGUACUACUGUGCUCUGCAGCCCACAGUGACAGGAAACAGCAAAACUCUGUACAAAAACCUUUGGAGCAAAGACAACAGAAUACUCCACAACAUCCACUAGAGGGAGCCACACACUGUUAAA